UGACUAAAGGCGGAAGGAAGGAAGUGGGACGAACGGGUAGGUCAGUAUGCCCCGAAUUAUCCGGGCUACACGCGGGCUACAAUGGUCAGGACAAUGGGCAUCAACACCGAAAGGUGAAGGCAAUCUCUUAAACCUGUCCUUAGUUCGGAUUGUGGGCUGCAACUCGCCCACAUGAAGCUGGAAUCUGUAGUAAUCGCGUCUCAAAAUGGCGCGGUGAAUAUGUCCCUGCUCCUU
rnacentral:rRNA from 1 species